rnacentral:rRNA from 1 species
GAUGAACGCUGGCGGCGUGCCUAAUACAUGCAAGUCGAACGCUUCGAUUUAUCGAAGAGUGGCGAACGGGUGAGUAAUACAUAAGUAACCUGCCUUUAACAGGGGGAUAACUACUAGAAAUGGUAGCUAAGACCGCAUAGGUGGAUUGAUCGCAUGAUCGAUUCAUUAAAAGACCUUUCAAGGUCUGGAUAAGGAUGGACUUAUGUCGCAUUAGCUAGUUGGUAAGGUAACGGCUUACCAAGGCGACGAUGCGUAGCCGGCCUGAGAGGGUGAACGGCCACAUUGGGACUGAGACACGGCCCAAACUCCUACGGGAGGCAGCAGUAGGGAAUUUUCGGCAAUGGGGGAAACCCUGACCGAGCAACGCCGCGUGAAGGAAGAAGGAAUUCGUUUCGUAAACUUCUGUUAUAAAGGAAGAAAGAUGAUAUCAGGAAAUGGAUGUCAAGUGACGGUACUUUAUGAGAAAGCCACGGCUAACUACGUGCCAGCAGCCGCGGUAAUACGUAGGUGGCAAGCGUUAUCCGGAAUUAUUGGGCGUAAAGAGGGAGCAGGCGGUAACAAAGGUCUGUGGUGAAAGCCUGAAGCUUAACUUCAGUAAGCCAUAGAAACCAGGUAACUAGAGUGCAAGAGAGGAUCGUGGAAUUCCAUGUGUAGCGGUGAAAUGCGUAGAUAUAUGGAGGAACACCAGUGGCGAAGGCGACGAUCUGGCUUGUAACUGACGCUGAGUCCCGAAAGCGUGGGGAGCAAAUA